AAUUGUGCUGCUUUACAUAAUAGACCUACACCAUAUAUCUGACCAAUUAUUUGAACCGUACUUUUUGCUUCGUUCAAUCGCAAAUCCGCAAUUCUGCAAAUAACUUUUUUACUGCUUUGAAAUCUACAGUUCUGUAAUGGACAGUUUUACUGCUCAAUUCUGCUACUCAACAAUCCACAAUCCAUUAAUGUCAAGGUUCUAGUUGAAUAUUGUCUGAUCAGAUUAGUCUCUUUGAGUGAAAGUAAGCAAAAUAGCGUUGGUUGUUGCGGUUUGGAAUCUAGGAGCUAUCUUAUAGUCUGCAUCUAGAAACAUGUUAAUGAAUGUUGUUUGGUCUGCGGAAGUUGUGCUGCAAUUUGGGUGUGUGACUCUUAUCUUUUUCUCUUCAUUCAUUCCCUGACCUUUUGUAUGUGAUUUGUAUAUUUUUCAACCGGUCUGCUCUAAGAUAUUGAGAGUUUACAGUGCUGUCAUGGUUUUAGAUAUAUGGCAGUAGGCAAAAGUAGGACAGAGAUAACUCAUUUUAACAUUGUGUGCUUUGUGUUUUGUUUCAUUAUAGUAGUAUAAGUGUGAUUUGUACUCUUAAAGCAUCUUAGUUAGCUAACUUCACCUUCUAGGAAACAUGCAUACAUGCAUAUUAAAUUAUACUAAAAAUAUGGAUAUAUUUGGAUCAUUACCAAUUCUUAUAGUCCUGUUGUAAACAAUAUGGUUGUUCAUCUGUCAUAGAUUUGGAAUGUCAGCCACCUAAAUUGCUUUAGUUUAGAGCAUGGAUUUGGUUUGCAAGAGAAUCAAAUAGCAAGGACUAAAGAAAUAUUGACAUCACCUUAAUUUUAGUUUUAGUUUGCUUAAAAUGAAAAGAUGAGAAUAUAGU